UACAGAGGGUGCGAGCGUUAAUCGGAAUUACUGGGCGUAAAGCGUGCGUAGACGGUUAUUUAAGUCGGGUGUGAAAGCCCCGGGCUCAACCUGGGAAUUGCAUUCGAGACUGAAUAGCUAGGGUACGGUAGAGGGAAGCGGAAUUUCCGGUGUAGCGGUGAAAUGCGUAGAUAUCGGAAAGGAACACCAGUGGCGAAAGGCGGCUCUCUGGGGUAUUUCUGACGCCUGGAGGCACGAAAGCCAGGG
rnacentral:rRNA from 1 species